rnacentral:lncRNA from 1 species
UUUCAAAUCAUGAUACAUCUUCGUAGCUCCAGGAUGAAUACUCAGGCCACUACGAUGUCCUUCUUCUAGAAUACUCUUCUUAAGUUCGGUAACAUCCGGAAUACACACCCGAUUACUAAAUUUCAAAAUGCCAUUCUCAUCAACUCUGAAUUCACCACCUGACCUUGAUUCACUAAAGUCAACUUAUCAACCAAAACCACAUCGGAUUUCUG